AACGAACGCUGGCGGCAGGCCUAACACAUGCAAGUCGAGCGGACCUUUCGGGGUCAGCGGCGGACGGGUGAGUAACGCGUGGGAAUAUGCCCUUCUCUACGGAAUAGUCCUGGGAAACUGGGGUUAAUACCGUAUACGCCCUUUGGGGGAAAGAUUUAUCGGGGAAGGAUUAGCCCGCGUUGGUUUAGGUAGUUGGUGGGGUAAUGGCCUACCAAGCCGACGAUCCAUAGCUGGUUUGAGAGGAUGAUCAGCCACACUGGGACUGAGACACGGCCCAGACUCCUACGGGAGGCAGCAGUGGGGAAUCUUAGACAAUGGGGGCAACCCUGAUCUAGCCAUGCCGCGUGAGUGAUGAAGGCCUUAGGGUUGUAAAGCUCUUUCAGCUGGGAAGAUAAUGACGGUACCAGCAGAAGAAGCCCCGGCUAACUCCGUG
rnacentral:rRNA from 1 species